GUUGUGAUGGCUGAGUGGUUAAAGCACUGGACUUAAAAUCCAAUAGGGUCUCCCUGCGCAGGUUCUAAUCCUGCUCACAGCA